rnacentral:misc_RNA from 1 species
GAUGAAGAACGCAGCGAAAUGCGAUAAGUAAUGUGAAUUGCAGAAUUCAGUGAAUCAUCGAAUCUUUGAACGCACAUUGCGCCCGCCAGUAUUCUGGCGGGCAUGCCUGUUCGAGCGUCAUUUCAACCAUCAAGCCCCCGGCUUGUGUUGGGGACCUGCGGCUGCCGCAGGCCCUGAAAAGCAGUGGCGGGCUCGCUGUCACACCGAGCGUAGUAGCAUACAUCUCGCUCUGGGCGUGCUGCGGGUUCCGGCCGUUAAACCACCUUCAUAACCCAAGGUUGACCUCGGAUCAGGUAGGAAGACCCGCUGAACUUAAGCAUAUCAAUAAUCGGAGGA